rnacentral:rRNA from 1 species
UACGUAGGGGGCAAGCGUUGUCCGGAAUCAUUGGGCGUAAAGCGCGUGUAGGCGGCUUCGUAAGUCCGUUGUGAAAGUCCAGGGCUCAACCCUGGAAUGCCGAUGGAUACUGCGGAGCUAGAGUCCGGAAGAGGCGAGUGGAAUUCCUGGUGUAGCGGUGAAGUGCGUAGAUAUCGGGAAGAACAUCGGUGGCGAAAGCGCUCUACUGGACCGCAACUGACACUCAGGGACGAAAGCUAGGGGAGCGAAUGGG